GCAGUGGGUACGGGCAAACUAGAGUGCGGUAGGGGAGAUUGGAAUUCCUGGUGUAGCGGUGGAAUGCGCAGAUAUCAGGAGGAACACCAAUGGCGAAGGCAGAUCUCUGGGCCGUAACUGACGCUGAGGAGCGAAAGCGUGGGGAGCGAACAGGAUUAGAUACCCUGGUAGUCCACGCCGUAAACGGUGGGAACUAGAUGUAGGGACCGUUCCACGGUUUCUGUGUCGCAGCUAACGCAUUAAGUUCCCCGCCUGGGGAGUACGGCCGCAAGGCUAAAACUCAAAGGAAUUGACGGGGGCCCGCACAAGCGGCGGAGCAUGCGGAUUAAUUCGAUGCAACGCGAAGAACCUUACCAAGGCUUGACAUAUAGAGGAAAAGUGUAGAAAUACACUCCCCGCAAGGUCUCUAUACAGGUGGUGCAUGGUUGUCGUCAGCUCGUGUCGUGAGAUGUUGGGUUAAGUCCCGCAACGAGCGCAACCCUCGUCCUAUGUUGCCAGCACGUAAUGGUGGGAACUCAUGGGAUACUGCCGGGGUCAACUCGGAGGAAGGUGGGGAUGACGUCAAAUCAUCAUGCCCCUUAUGUCUUGGGCUUCACGCAUGCUACAAUGGCCGGUACAGAGGGCAGCAAUACCGCAAGGUGGAGCGAAUCCCAAAAAGCCGGUCUCAGUUCGGAUUGAGGUCUGCAACUCGACCUCAUGAAAGUCGGAGUCGCUAGUAAUCGCAAAUCAGCAACGUUGCGGUGAAUACGUUCCCGGGUCUUGUUACAACA
rnacentral:rRNA from 1 species